CAGUAGCCGCGGUAAUACGAAGGGUGCAAGCGUUACUCGGAAUUACUGGGCGUAAAGCGUGCGUAGGUGGUGGUUUAAGUCCGUUGUGAAAGCCCUGGGCUCAACCUGGGAAUUGCAGUGGAUACUGGGUCACUAGAGUGUGGUAGAGGAUAGUGGAAUUUCCGGUGUAGCAGUGAAAUGCGUAGAGAUCGGAAGGAACAUCCGUGGCGAAGGCGACUAUCUGGGCCAACACUGACACUGAGGCACGAAAGCGUGGGGAGCAAACAGGAUUAGAUACCCGCGUAGUCCCUGUCUCUUUACA
rnacentral:rRNA from 1 species